GACGAACGCUGGCGGCGUGCCUAAUACAUGCAAGUCGAGCGCAGGAAACUGACGGAACUCUUCGGAGGGAAGGCAGUGGAACGAGCGGCGGACGGGUGAGUAACACGUAAGGAACCUGCCUCAAGGAUUGGGAUAACUCCGAGAAAUCGGAGCUAAUACCGGAUAGUUCACCGGACCGCAUGGUCCGCUGAUGAAAGGCGCUCCGGCGUCACCUUGAGAUGGCCUUGCGGUGCAUUAGCUAGUUGGUGGGGUAACGGCUCACCAAGGCGACGAUGCAUAGCCGACCUGAGAGGGUGAUCGGCCACACUGGGACUGAGACACGGCCCAGACUCCUACGGGAGGCAGCAGUAGGGAAUCUUCCACAAUGGACGAAAGUCUGAUGGAGCAACGCCGCGUGAGUGAUGAAGGUUUUCGGAUCGUAAAACUCUGUUGUAAGGGAAGAACACGUACGAGAGGAAAUGCUCGUACCUUGACGGUACCUUACGAGAAAGCCACGGCUAACUACGUGCCAGCCGCCGCCGUAACAC
rnacentral:rRNA from 1 species